GCUGCAUCAGGACGUAAAACUUUAAUGGCCACUGGUGUAUGAUCCAGAUAGGACUUGUAAACAGGCCCAUAACCUCCUUCUCCAAUCUUGAUUGCAAUGCAGCUUCCUCUGCUAAUCGCGCGCCUUCUGAUCUCUGUUGUUCUUCCAAUUUCCAAUGAUGAAGUUCCCUGGCCUGUAAUGAAAUUUCAUCAGAAUUCAAUCAAAUUGCAGCUCAACUCCAGGUUUCAAUUUCAAUUCAAUGUUUCCAUUGGUGCUUUUGUUUGGAGAUUUUGGAUAUUGUGAGCUAUUUGUUUAUUUUGACUUUCAAGUUUGAGUAACACAUAAUGAGCUUCCAGUCUGAAGAGAAUGAAAAGAGAGCUUGAAUGAUGGAACGCCCUCUAAAUAUAUUUUUAAAUAUAGUGAUAAAUUCAUUAUGAAA